AUGGUUGUUGUAAUCUGCAGGAUAUCAGCAAGGUCACCGAAGUCCACUUCCUGCCCGAUGGAUGUUCCAUUUCCAGGAGCGGGAGCUGAUGGUGGUGGAGAGGUGUCAUGGAGCAAUAUGAUUGGUGUGAUAGGUCGUGAUCUCUUCAUCUAUUGCCUUCACCGCCUCUCCAGGUGGGAAUAUGGCGCCAUCGCCUCCCUCAACCGUGAUUUCAAUUCCGUGGUUCGCAACGGGGACAUCUACCGCCUGCGUCGCAAGAACGGGAUCGCAGAGCACUGGCUCUACCUCUCUUGCGGUAAUAAUCCUCCGGAGUGGGAGGCUUAUGACCCGUCCACUGGGCGCUGGAUCCAAGUGCCCAAGAUGCCACCGGCUCAAUGCAUCCUCUGGGAGUCGCUCGCUGUAGGAACCGAGCUGCUGGUGUUUGGGAGUGAAAGGGUUGCCUUGAGAUACAGCAUCCUUACCAAUUCAUGGACAGGGCUGGCGGAUGAGAUGAACACCCCGCGGUACAGGUUUGGGUCAGCAAGUGUCGGUGAAAAGGCGUAUGUCGCGGGAGGCGGUGAUUCUUCUUAUGGUAAUGUAUUGAGCUCCGCAGAGAUGUAUGACUCGGAGACACAUACUUGGACACCCCUUCCCAGCAUGAAUAGGGCUAGGUACGGAUGCUCUGGUGCGUUCAUGGAUGGCAGGUUCUAUGUGAUCGGUGGUAAUAGCAGUAGCCGCGAGCUAUUGACAAGCGGUGAGGAGUAUGACUUAAACCGGCGGUCAUGGAGGGUCAUCGACAACAUGGCUCAGGGGCUCAGCAUUGAAGUUGUCAACAUGUCAACAUGGUAUGCUCCUCCGCUCAUUGCAGUUGUCAACAAUGAGCUUUAUGCUGCUGAUUACAGUGAGAAUAAUGAUUUGAAGCAGUAUGAUAAGCUCGACAACAGGUGGAUCACUCUUGGCAAAUUGCCUGUACAGUCUAAGCAAAAUGAUGGCAGGGACAUGGGUUUCCGAGCGUGUGGUGAGCGGCUGAUUGUUAUUGGGCGUCCAAUCAAUUCUACUGAUGAAAAGGUGGUUGAGAUUCAUUCAUGGACCCCUGAUGGGCAACCGCCUGUGUGGAGUUUGUUUGCCACACGCCCAUACAGGGGCCACCAAAUUCUGUGUGCCGUGAUGGCUUGCUGA
rnacentral:rRNA from 1 species